rnacentral:rRNA from 1 species
GGCUAACACUGACGCUCAUGCACGAAAGCGUGGGGAGCAAACAGGAUUAGAUACCCUGGUAGUCCACGCCCUAAACGAUGUCAACUAGGUGUUGGGAGGGUUAAACCUUUUAGUACCGCAGCUAACGCGUGAAGUUGACCGCCUGGGGAGUACGGCCGCAAGGUUAAAACUCAAAGGAAUUGACGGGGACCCGCACAAGCGGUGGAUGAUGUGGAUUAAUUCGAUGCAACGCGAAAAACCUUACCUACCCUUGACAUGCCAGGAACUUUCCAGAGAUGGAUUGGUGCCCGAAAGGGAGCCUGGACACAGGUGCUGCAUGGCUGUCGUCAGCUCGCGUCGUGAGAUGCUGGGUUAAGUCCCGCAACGAGCGCAACCCUUGUCAUUAGUUGCCAUCAUUUAGUUGGGCACUCUAAUGAGACUGCCGGUGACAAACCGGAGGAAGGUGGGGAUGACGUCAAGUCCUCAUGGCCCUUAUGGGUAGGGCUUCACACGUCAUACAAUGGUCGGUACAGGGGGUCGCCAACCCGCGAGGGAGAGCUAAUCUCAGAAAGCCGAUCGUAGUCCGGAUCGCAGUCUGCAACUCGACUGCGUGAAGUCGGAAUCGCUAGUAAUCGCGGAUCAGCAUGUCGCGGUGAAUACGUUCCCGGGUCUUGUACACACCGCCCGUCACACCAUGGGAGUGGGUUCUACCAGAAGUAGUUAGCCUAACCGUAAGGGGGGCGAUUACCACGGUAGGAUUCAUGACUGGGGUGAAGUCGUAACAAGGUAACCA